GCGGGCGUAGUUCAGUGGUAGAACAUUAGCUUCCCAAGCUAAAAGUGAGGGUUCGAUUCCCUUCGCCCGCU
rnacentral:tRNA from 1 species